GUCCCUUUUCCUACCAUUUUGCCAUCUUUUAAUAUUAGAAUCUGAGUUGCAGCGCGGAGAUAUUGCAACUGGUGAGUCACCAAAACACAGAUCUUCUGAUGUAAAGCCUGACAAAUGCACUUUUCAAACAAAUGUCUUCCAACUUCAGAAUCUACCGCACUCAGUGGAUCGUCCAAAAGAUAGAUAUCUGCAUCUUGAUAUACAGCUCUGGCCAGAUUCACACGGGCCUUCUGUCC
rnacentral:lncRNA from 1 species